UACAUGUGGGGCAAGCGUUGUUCGGAAUUACUGGGCAUAAAGGGUGCGUAGGCGGCUUGUUAAGUCAGGGGUGAAAGUUUUCAGCCCAACCGGAAAAUGGCCUUUGAUACUGGCGAGCUCGAGUGCGUGAGGGGUGACUGGAACGAGCAGUGUAGCGGUGAAAUGCGUAGAUAUUGCUCGGAAGGCCAACGGCGAAGGCAGGUCACUGGUACGCAACUGACGCCGAGGCACGAAAGCGUGGGGAGCAAACAGG
rnacentral:rRNA from 1 species